UCCGAAGCCGUGUAAGAGCCAGACUUCUGC
rnacentral:piRNA from 1 species